CUGCUCAAUGCAUCACCCGGGGCAAACUACCUGGCCUCCAGGACACCUACAGCACCCGAUGUCACAGGAAGGCCAAAAAGGUCAUCAAGGACAUCAACCACCCGAGCCACGGCCUGUUCACCCCACUAUUAUCCAGAAGGCGAGCUAAGUCCCCUCCUGUUCCCCGAUUAAGAGGUGAUGACCACUUCACUACCAUUGUCAACUCUCUCCUGACAUGAACUGAAGCCACGUCUCAUGUGCCUGCUCAUCCACUGGCACAUUGAAUGUUUCCUCUCCAAGCACUGUGACCUAUCAAUUUUCUCUCAUUAACUCAAAUCCUGUCCUGCACUGAAGUCAAGCCUCUGAACACCUCAACUCAUGCCUCAUACCUCAUUCAAUCACUGCUGUGAUCCCUUCCAAACACUAUGUAAG
ensembl:lncRNA